GACGUAGGAUGCGAGCGUUGUUCGGAUUUAUUGGGCGUAAAGCGUACGUAGCGGCUGCCUAAGUCUGGUGUUAAAGCUAGAGGCUCAACCUCUGUGAUGCACUGGAAACUGGGCAGCUUGAGAGCGGUAGGGGAAGGUGGAAUUCCGAGUGUAGCGGUGAAAUGCGUAGAUAUUCGGGAAGAACACCGGUGGCGAAGGCGACCUUCUGGGCCGUUUCGUGACGCUGAGGUACGAAAGCGUGGGGAGCAAACAGG
rnacentral:rRNA from 1 species